AUACGUAGGGGGCAAGCGUUAUCCGGAUUUACUGGGUGUAAAGGGAGCGUAGACGGCAAAGCAAGUCUGAAGUGAAAGCCCCGGGCUCAACCCGGGAAUUGCUUUGGAAACUGUUUAGCUGGAGUGCAGGAGAGGUAAGCGGAAUUCCUAGUGUAGCGGUGAAAUGCGUAGAUAUUAGGAGGAACACCGGCGGCGAAGGCGGCUUACCGGACUGUAACUGACGUUGAGGCUCGAAAGCGUGGGGAGCAAACAGGAUUAGAUACCCUGGUAGUCCACGCCGUAAACGAUGAUUACUAGGUGUUGGUUGUCAUAGACAAUCGGUGCCGCAGCAAACGCAAUAAGUAAUCCACCUGGGGAGUACGUUCGCAAGAAUGAAACUCAAAUGAAUUGACGGGG
rnacentral:rRNA from 1 species